CAUAUACUCCCUCCGUCCAGAAAUACUUGUCGAAGAAAUGCAAAAAAUGGAUGUAUCUAGAACUAAAAUACUUCUAGAUGCAUCCAUUCCUCCGACAAGUAUUUCCGGACGGAGGGAGUAUGAU
rfam:Triticum aestivum genome assembly, contig: Triticum_aestivum_CS42_TGACv1_scaffold_030616_1BL